rnacentral:lncRNA from 1 species
UCCUCUCCUACCUCAAGAUCCUUAUGAGAAAUCCAUGGCACGCUUCUGGGCGAAUUUUGGAGAUGAUAAGGUAUGAAAACGUUUGCUAGCUCAAAUAGUCUAAAUCAUUUGCCCUGCAAUACAAAAUAACACUAAGCAUUUCAGCAUGUUUGUUCCAGCUUUUGGUCAUUUGAAAAUAUUAUGUGAUGCUAAACCUUAAUUUCAAAGUGUAGCUCAUGAAAUCAAUAUGGCAACUUUUCAUUGCACAUGAGAAAGAUCAAGAUGUAGCAGCAGUUGCAGCACUGGAGAAUCUAAAAAUUGUUGAAGAGCAACUAAAAGGAAAGAAAUUCUUUCAGGGAGAGACAAUUGGGUACCUUGAUCUCGCAUUUGGUUGGAUCGCUAACUUAGUUAGCAUUCUAGAAGAAAUAAUGAGUCUAAAGUUGGUAGAUGGAGAGAGAUUCCCUCACUUGUCAUCCUGGAUCCAACAUUUCAUAGAUG